AUCCCAAGCAGGCUCCAGGCUCUGAGCUGUCGGCACAGAGUCCGAUGCGGGGCUCGAACCCACGGACCGUGAGAUCACGACCUGAGCCGAUGCUCAGAUGCUCAACCGACCGAGCUACCCAGGUGGCCCUACCCUUUCCACUUUGGAGGCAUUUGUUCCUAUGAAUCAGCUCCCUAAUACCCCCCAACAUUGAGGUUGGACCCUGGGCCCCUUUGCUUUUUUAAAUGGCUUCCCUUUUCUUGCCCCCUCCCCUCCUGCUCUGUAUUUUUACCUGUUGGUCUUUAAAACCUUCUAUCCGUAAACUUUGAAGCAACACAAAAGCAGAGGAAGGAAUACCUAUUUUUAUUACAAUGCACACAGUUUUCACAUUGCUGCCACCCAGGUGCCAACAGCUGUCAGCCCCUCUUGUUUGGUCUGAGCCUUGUACUGUCCUCUUCCAACCCCCAUCCCAGACUAUUUUGAAGCAAACUCCAGACACCAUAUCGUUUCCUCCGAGCACAUUUCAGUGCAUAGCUCUAAAAAAGAAGGACUCUUUUCUGUUUUAAAAACAUAGCCACAAUGCCACUUUCACAGUUAAAAAAUUAACAGCCUUUCUUUAAUGUCAUCCAACAUCUAUUCAGCCUUCAAAUAUCCUCAGUUGACUCAUAAAUUUCUCUUGCAGUUGGCGCGUUCGAAGCAGUGUCCAAAAUCUUUCCUGCAUUUUCAGGGGGGGCGCUGGGCUUACAGAAGGUGAGAGGACUUUGAGAGGUUAGUGACUUGUCCAAAUUCUGCUAGGAAGCAAGACCCAGGAUUCCAAUCCAGGUUUGUCUGAUUCCUGUACAUAAUGGAGAGGUGGAAGGAGGGAUGGGGGGCGGUCUGAUGGAGGCCUGCCUCCGUGAGACAUCAGCAGGUGGAGAGGUGGUGUGGAGGCUGAUGCCUGCUGGCGAGAUGGGUGAACAAAUUCACGUAUAGAGGGUGGAAAGAUGGAUGAGGAAUAGAGAGUAGUUUCUCACCAAGAUCAAAGGCUUUCUCGGUCUCUGAAGAGACGUUUCCUCUGAGUGGAGCUUGCUGGUGAAGCUCCUGCGUUUUGUUCUGCCUCUGAGUGUACUGACUGGCUCAGGUGGCUCUGGGACAACAGGUCUCCUGCCAGCUCACAGACACCAGGCCCUGGCUGUGGUGCUGGAGCUUCUCAGCAGCGACUCUCAGUCCCAGCGGUUUUCACACUAUGAUGAGAAACAGCAGGCAGCCUUCUUCUGCUGGCUCGGGAUGACUAAGCCCUGAGCCCAACCACAUGCCCAGUCCUUUGGUAGCCACUUGGCAUAAUUUUAUCUCCCCUAAAUCAUCACAGUGACCCUCCAUGAUAGCAAUUACCAUCCUCAAUUAAGAUACAAGAAAAUUGAGGUUUAGGAAUGAUAAGUGACUUGCCCCAAAUCGUGUAGGGAACCAGGAUUUGGACCUUAGUCUGCUUUUUCCUUCUAAACUCCUACCCUCUUCCCAUUUCUUUUUCUCUAAGACGGUGCCUGAAAAAAAAUUUCACUCCUUGGGGUUAACCCUUGUUAAACUCACCCUCCUGGUCUAUCAGGGAGCUGAACCUCUUAUCCCCCAGACUCUAAAUUUAUUUCUCAAGUAACACCUUCUCUAGUUUGUCCUACUUGUGACUAUCACACAUAUAAAGGUCAAACACACCACUGACCUCUUGCAGUACAAUUCAGUCAAAUUUCCAGUAGUUCCUAUUAGGACUGAAUGCUAAGGGGAGCAGGUGUAAAAAUGACUCUAGAGCCUGGAGGUAUACAAGGAAUCAGUCUAGAGGGAAUCAGACAGAGGGCUGAAAGACAGAUCAGCAAGCCUCCCUGAAGGCCUGGCUCAAAUUCAACCAGAUACGUUUUGAUAAUCUGCUUAUGGGCUAAGUCCUGUUAUACAUAUCCCAGAUGCUCAGGCUUAAUUCACAGGUCUGACAUUGACUAGUUUUGUGAGUAUUUAACCUCCGUGCCUCAGUUUCCUCACUUGUAAUAUGGGGAUACCAAAAUACCUUAUUAAUGGACAUUUGAAAAUUAAAUUAUUUCAACAUUUAAAGUGCUUAAAACAAUGUUUCCCAUAUGGUUAGUGUUCAAUAAAUAUUUCAUGAUCGUUAAAAUUAUAAUUGUCGUAACUGUUUUUAUUGAGAUGUUUAAUAUCUCUGGCUGCUAAGAUCAUUUUACACGUUCUGCGGAUAGCUGGGGCAUAUAGCUCAGAGAGGCAUGUGAGUUUGCCUUUGGAGAGGCAGUCGGUGAAAUAGAAACACAUGUAUUAAUUUAAGACUAGAAGACUUUAUCUCCAGUUAGGGAAAUGAGAAAUAUAUACACCAAAUGAAUAUGAUCCAUCUAAUGAAAUGUUAAGCCUCGGAAUAGGUGAAAGUUCCCUGAAGGAAUUUCCUUGGAGGUUUUGAGAAUUACAGAGAGAUUGAAUGGGAGCUGAAAAGAAGCUGAGGAGGAGGGCAAGAUGAGCAAUCAAGUUGUCUUGGUUCAACUUCAUGGCUUCUAGAAGCAGUGGGCAAGUUCCCUAAGCUCUUAUAUAUGUUCUUCUCAGAUUUAUUUCUCUAUCUGUUUUUUUCUUCUUUUUUUUUUUUGGUCGGGGGGAGGAGAAAAUAAUCACUUUAGAAAUGUUUCUUUAUUUGCUCUUUUGAGAGUGGCCAGCUGGAACAAAGAAUUGUUCCGUUGAGUCUUACCUCAUGGAGGCCAUGAGGACUGGGAGACCUCCUCCUCUUUAUGGGUAGAACGUUUGCCACUUAAGCCUAGGCAGUGGACAGCUGCAUGCGGGGGUGUUCCUGGGGGAAGGGUACCUCUGGAUGCCCUACUGGCUAAGUGACAGGGUAUGGGGUUAGCAUCUGUGCUUACUUGCUGGCUACGAUGGGUGCAUGAUAGGAUUUUAGCAUGACCUGACGCAGUGUCUGUGCAAGUCCUGUGGGAACUGUCACCACUGCACCUUCUCUAAGAAGGAUGGUGUAUUUAUUCACCCAGGGCUAUUAGUAUACCCUGGAGAUGCCCUGUGCUCCUGAGACUGUGUGGGAGGUCAGACGAACCCCUCUACUCACCCACACACGUAUUCACACACUCACCUUGUGUGCUGACAGUGGGGCAUCAGAGAGCAAGAACUCCAAAAAUGAGGCGGUGGGGAGAAGUAGGGAAGACAAGACUCUGGAGCUCAGCAUCUUCCUUGCUGUGUGACCACUUGUAAGUCACUUAACCUUUCUGAGGCUCAGUUCCCUCGUGUGUAAGAAGGAACUAAUAAUGUUUGCUCAGAUAUCACCUUCUCGGUGGGGUUUGUGUCCUUCUUGUUGCUUGCUGUCCCUUUCCUGCUUUAUUUUUCUUCAUUGUUCUUAUCACUGGCUCGUAUACCACAUAUCGUACUUAUUUAUUUUUAAUGUUGUCUGUUCUGUCUCUACCCAGGGGAUAGUAGCUUUCAGAGUUUGUCUGUUUGGUUCAUUGCGGUAUCCCAGGACCUAGACCAGUGCCUGGCACAAAACGUGUGCACAGGACUUUUGGAGGGGGUGGGGGAGAAAAAAAGAGAUGCUGUUGAAUUGUACCCACCCCAGAAGACUGGCGAUGCAUGCAAAGCAGGCAGCAUGGUGCCUGGUGCAGAGUAGGCAUUCAAUCAAUAUUGGCUAAUUAUGAUUAUUAUGUGUAAUUCACAGGACUGCUGUGGGAUCAAACAAGAUAAUGUAUGCUAAGGCAUGCUGUGAACACUACGUGCUGGGUACAGGAGAACAGAGGCCCCAGAGUGGGUCUAUUGACGCUCUGUUGAUCGAGAUCUUGGCUGUGACCUCUCUGGCAAGUGAACCAUGGAUCAACCGACAUGAGUGAUGGUGAAAGCCAUUGAAAAUGAGCCAGGGUGUUCAUUUUUUAAACGGUUGCUUUCUCUUGCACGAAAUGGGCAUGCCAUAGUUCAUUUAAUCAUGCAAUAUUUAUGAGAAUUUUGAAUCUUAAUUUGGAUGGAUGAGGUACAUGAAGAAACGUAAGUAACAGUUGAUGUUCUUAAAUCUUUGGCUGGAAAGUUUUUGAGGGUGUUCAUAAAUAAGUAAAUGAAUGGAUGAACAGAUUAAGGAAUAAAACCAGAGAUGGAAAACAUGGACCUAUGACAGUAAUAUCUCAUUAUCCCAGAAUUAAGAUUAUUCAGAUUCUGUGCAGUCGGUGCUUCAGUUCCAAGUCCAGACCAUCAUGAUUCACUUCUGGUUUGGAUGUGACUCUCCUCAUGCAGAAACUUCUAGAGAUGGGAUCUCUGUCCUCAUGGGGUAAACAGGUUGUGUUGGAAACACCUCCAUACUUCCCUGUUGGAAAGGAAGAGAAUAGGAGACAGAGAAGUGUGGAACCCUACCGGGGAAAUGAUGUGAGGUCUCCCUACCUGUGGCCGUCACUUUAUAGGAAAAAAAGGAUAAAGACAGAUGUUGGUAAUAGCCAUCAUUCUUUUUUUUUUUUUUUUUCCUUCUUUUUUUGUCCAUCAAAUUUGGAAGUAGUGGGGUUUUUUGUUUAUUUAUUUAUUUUUGGUCAUGGUCAUCAUUCUUAUUUUAGGUGAUCACUUCUAUGGCAUUCAUCAGAAUAACAAUUGAGAACCAUUAAUUGGUCAAGUCAAUUAAAAAUAGAGUGCUG